CGAUGAUAGCAAACUACUUUAUUUUUUUAUCAUAUUUGUAUAUUAUCUUUUAUUAUUUUAUUUUAUUUUUUAACAUAUUUCUUUGAUCGGUUGCUUCGCUUCUCUUCGCGAUCAAAUGGUCAAAUGAUUGUUUAUCCCAAAUACUGUAGUUUUCAUUGAUCGAUGGCCUUCCUUUAGAUCCAUCGAUCGAACAGUUGUC
rnacentral:lncRNA from 1 species